rnacentral:lncRNA from 1 species
CUUAAAAAAUCACAUUAUACGUCCCCAACGUUAAUCUCCGUUAACAAUUUUGGUCUCCAGACAGUUUUCCGUCAAAAAACUAACAUUUCUAAGGACAAAAAUGUAAUUAAACAAAAAAAAUUACAAAACUAAAAACCCAGAAAACAUGAAUGUUAGGAUAGAAAUCUUCAUAUGAAAAAUCCAGAUAUUCAUGUCAUCAUUCCAUUUUUCCAUCAUCUUCAUAUAAACCAACUAAAUACAAAUCAAUAUUUCCAUCAUCAUCAUUCCAUUUUACCAUGAAUGAAUUAUAUAACCCGUCACUAAAAUCAACCUUUCUCCUUAACCUAUUACCUUCCCCUGUCAAUGAACCACCAUCAAUAAUCACCCCCUUCUACAGCCAAACUCAUAUCCCAGAAAAACCUCCCUAAACGCAGCAAUAAACCCAAGGGGAAAAGAUGAAAGAGAGCCCAAACCUCCAUCUCCAGCAACUGCCUUCACCGGAAGCCAACCCUCAUCGCUGCCACCUCCAAGCCAACAACUAUGGCGGAUUACAAAUUGGAAGAUUUCCGCAUCGGAAGCCUCUCAUUCCUCUCUCUUCUUUCUUCCUCCUCUUUCUGUUUCAGGUUUCAAUUCUUCAUUUUCUGCAACAAUGGAGGAUUACAAACUAGAAGUUGGUGUCUUUGGUUUUGUGUUAAAGGAAGAAAAAAAGUGGGGGACCGAUGAAGGAGAUUGUGGGUUUUCAGGGUUCGCAACGUUUAAUCUUUGAUCAGUGAUGGAGAUCCAAUCUCACUCUCAACCGCGGCCACCAUAACCAUCGUCGAUCAUUCUUCUCAAGCUCCAAAUUCCUGUUUAGCUUCCUCCUCCACUUUUCUUUUCGUUCAACUCGCUUCAGAUCUUGAUUUGGAUCUGUGAAAUUCUUCUCUUCCGGAAGAGAGGAGACCAUGAUUGGGGGUUGUUCUUCUUGUUUUGGGGUUUUGGUUGGGGAUUAUUGUUUUGGGAUUUUGGUUGGAGGUUCCAUUUCCUCUGCGAAUGAAUAUUGCGGGACUUGAAGGACAUGAAGAAGAGGCUGAAGGAGAUUAAGGCUUUGUUUGGAUUGGGGGAGGGGGAUGGAGUGGAGUGG